rnacentral:rRNA from 1 species
UACGUAGGGUGCGAGCGUUGUCCGGAAUUAUUGGGCGUAAAGAGCUCGUAGGCGGUGUGUCACGUCGUUCGUGAAAACCUGCAGCUUAACUGUGGGCGUGCGGUCGAUACGGGCAUCACUGGAGUUCGGCAGGGGAGACUGGAAUUCCCGGUGUAGUGGUGAAAUGCGUAGAUAUCGGGAGGAACACCAGUGGCGAAGGCGACUUCCUGGCCUGUUCUUGACGCUGAGGCGCGAAAGCUAGGGUAGCAAACGGG